GCUAAAGUUCUGUUUCCAAAGCUUUUCAUUAUCCUGUCCUGAAUACCAGAUUAAUUUCUUCAUUUACUGGACACUGGUGACCCUAACCCAUCUUAAAAGUGGACUUUGGAAAGAACCUCAGAAAUUAGUGUGUUUCACGUCCAAGAACACAAGGGGACUUAUGGACUGAAUGAUGUCACCCCAAAAUCCGUAUGUUGAAGCCCUAACCCCAGCACCUCAGAAUGUGACUGCAUUUGGAGACAGGACCUUUAAAGAGGUAGACAGUUAUGAAAAGCAGAAACAAUAAGUGACAUAUGCAACAUCAGAGCUAACACUGAAGACUCCCAAUACAAAUGAUAACGGUAA